ensembl:lncRNA
AUGGGUAGGAUCUAGAGAAAUCAGGACAGAUAUUGGAAUACGCUGGGGCUGGCCAACAAGGAGACACUUCCUCUGGUCCUAAAUGGACAGGACAGAAAGCCCUUAUUAGUCCUUGCAGAGGGAGAAUUCCUGGGGAAGACCUCCUAAUAGGAGCUGCGGCCAGUCUGUGGUGACACUUCUUUCUUUGAUCCCCUGUUGAUUUUCUUUAGCUAAACCCCAAGGGAUGCCAGAAGAGCCCAGAAUGAGAUAAGACUUUCCACAACGAAAUUAUCAUGGAACAGCUUGGGGUGCUAUUACCAAUAGGAAAUAUAACGGCGUUAUAGUCAGUUACCUGAUGAAUAGACGUGAUGUUUGCCACUUCUGGAUGAAGCCUUUCGAAGAAUAAGAAUUCUUCCUCCAUUCUCUGUUCGACUGGCUGGAUGCAGAUGAUAAGAAGGCCACAGAGAAGCCACAGGAUGGAAGGAACUUUGGUUCCUGAAUCAGUGCAUGUAGAAAAGCUGCCUGCUGACCUGAACAGCUGUUCUGAACUGUUAUAUAAACAAGAAAUAAACUUCUGUUGUAUUUAAGCCACUACAUAUUUGCAUCUGUUUGAUUCAGCAGUUUAUUUAGCCUACCCAAAGUAAUACAGAUGCCAUUAGAAUUUUAAUCUCAAAUACUUAAAUUAUUUAUUAUAUGUUUACAACCCUUAUGUGGUAAGCAGGGCAGGCACCUAUUUUAUAGGCAAAACAGUGAGGAAUAUGGAGAUUCAUAAAUUCUUUCAACAAAUACUUAUUGACCAUUAGGGAAAUUUGUUGCAAACAAUUUAUUAAAUCAUUAUUUUAUGAGAGCAUUCAUUCUUUCAUUCAUUUUAUAAAUAUUUACUCAGGGCUUUCAAUGUGUCCUUCAGGAGCUCACAGUCUAGUAUAAAAGACAAAUACUAAAUUUAAAAAUUAAGGACAUAAAUUG